rnacentral:lncRNA from 1 species
CAGCUGACAGAUCCAAACUCUCUGGCAAGUCACGACAGUGGCCACUACCCUUCUCCACUCUCUGUAAUGGAUUCCAUGUGGCUCCACCACUCUCUAGCAAGUCGCGACAACGGACACCACUCUACUCUCCGUAACAAAUUCCACGUGGCCCUGAACAACCCCUGACGCCACUACUUUCCGUAACAAACUUCGGGCGGCUCUGAACAGCCCACUA